CACAUCGCAGAAGAACGAGAGGGUACGUAGAAAAGGGGAAAAAAGAAAGGAGAGGGAAAAGAAAUGGCACUCAAGACUAUUGCUUCUUCUCCUUCGAUGGCGAUAUUCUUGCGCAAUCUCGUGGUUCUGGUCCUUCAUUUCAUAAUCCUCGCUUCAGGCCCAGCACCCAACUGCGGGCGUGGUUUAGCGGAACCAGGCAUACCGAAGCCUUCCCCUGGAUGCAAAUGAGGUACGUACUCGCAUAAUAAAGCGCUCGAUUUCUUGUAUCUUGCUACAGUAGAAAUGUGAAGUCCCUAUGUUUUGUGUAGUGGUCUACUUCUUGUAUCUUGCUCCACAGGCAAGCGCUGCUGUGUCACAUAUGAAUAUCGUUCGCCUAAAAAUGCGAGUGGGCAAGCAUUGAUGUAAGCUUUCAAAAUUUUCUCCAUAUCAACAGUUUUGAUUUUCAAAAA